CAUCACCAUCGCGGUGUUAUUUGCAUUUACCUAGAGUACCGAAGAGCUUUUCGGAGGUUUGCUUUCUUGCUUCCCUAACCUUUUCAAAAUAACUUGUUUGAGUGUGUGAUUCCCUAUGUUUGUGUGUGUGUGACAUUUCUUUGGAUUUGAUUGUAUUGGUCUCUGUCAUACCGACACCUCUGGAAAAAAUGUAUGUCUGUAUCAGUGUCUGUCAAUGUCGGACUCCGACACGACACUUGUGAUUAUGUUCAAUUUAUUUAUUUUUUUCAAAUUUAAUUUACCGGUGUCCACGUGUCUGUGUCGGAAUCGUGUCCGGAGUCUGUCCUUCAUAGGUCUUAGUUAUACACUUUCUUAUGAAAAAAUAUGGAUUACAAAUGAAAUCACCCAAAUCCCUUCUUUUAAUAUUACAAAUAUACACACACAAGUUCUUGAAUUAGAAUUGAAUAAACACCACAAGAAGUUGUUAAGUAUGCUGCAACUAACUCAUCCUGCAAAUAUCAUAGCAAAUUUAAAUAUCCAGUGUAUUAUUUAUAGAAAAGCAUCCACACAAAAACCAACAAUAAACAACACCUCAAAUGACACAAAGAAAACAGAAGCAUUUGUCAAUUAAUAGAGUACACAUUCCUUGAUUAUAUAGUAGAUGAUUCAAUUCAAGGAAAUAAUUUAUUAAGCACACCAAAGAAGGAAUGAAGAGACAAACUGCAUCUUCAUGUGAGCUGCAACAUGGACAAUAUGAACCUGUUCGCAUGAACACAGAACUAUCAAAAUCUAGUAUGACACAAAUAACACAAGAGAACCAUAAAAUCGUUAGAGGAAAGAGUACCUUAAUGUUUUAGAUAUUGAGUUGAGUAGGAAUCGGGCGCAACUCAUAAUCAUGAUAUCUUGAUCCUACUUUCUGACGAAUCAGUACAAGGGGAAUAUGAUUAAUAAUCCAAUGGCAUGGUCCACCUUUAUCUGGAUCAAUGCUAUCAACUAGUUCAGCUGGCAUGUCAAUCAAUUCAAGGAUUUGAAGGUUUUUCAAGUUUUGGAGGUCUUGGGGUACCACCUUCAAUUGAGGGUUGUUGUUAAAUCUGAAGUCUUCAAGCCCAAGUAAAGCUUCUUUGUCUAUUGAUACAGAUUUUAGUCUAUUUAAUCUAGUGAGAUCCAAUUCUAUCAGCUUAUAAAACCCUCCUUUCUGAAAAUGCAAUCUUUCACCAGAAAAGGAAUCAUCCCACAAAUUCAACCUCAACAAAUUAGGCAAAAUCUUGAAAGACUCUAGUGGAUCAUCUUCGAAGUUAGAUAAGCCAAGUCUUAGCUUCACAAGGUACUUGAGAUUUGGAAUCCAUUUAGGCAACUUUGUUAAUCUACUUUUCAAGUUAAGCACUUUAAGAUUAGGUGGAUUUGAUACAAAAUCCAAGUCAAUGAUCUCCUCCUCAGUUAUAGCAGUAAUAUUAAGAGAUUCAAGGUGCUUCAUCUCUUGUAUUGUAGCACAUAAUACAUUUCCAUAUUCUCGCCGGACACGUCUUAUGCCUAACUUCCUUAACUGUUUCAACUUUUUGAGCUCUUGGAUAAGGUCUAUUCCACCAUGAUCUGCUUCCAGAAAGUAAAGUUUUUCUAAAGAUAUCAUACACCCAAUACCCUCUUGCAUUCGCACACCAGUUGUGAAGUUCAAUAUAGAAUAAGAGCCUUCAUAUUUUCUAUAAUAAACUGGAAGAAGCGUUAGCUUGGUGAGCCUGUUUAUCUCUUUUGGUAACUCACGCACAUGAGAUUGCCUUAAAUCCAAGGUUUCUAAGUUGACUAAAUUACCGAUAGAUUUUGGAAGAGCGGUAACUUUUGUAAAACUCAGGUUCAAGUACCUUAGAUGGAAAAGAUUCCCCAAGUUAUCAGGAAUAGAUUUCAACAAAGAAUUCUGAAAAUCAAGCACUUUCAAAAGCUUGAACUUGGCAGAUAAUCCAUGUAUGAAAUGUUUAGGAAAUUCACCUUUGUCGAAAACAUAUAUAGCACGAAUUCCUGAGCUACUAGUGUUUCUCAAGUCAUUGUUGGAGAUAGCUGCUAUAGAUAAGCGUCUAGUUAUUCCAAGAGUGACUUGUUCAUCAUCUUUAUGGCACAAAUGACAAAAACUUAAAUCUUUUAUUUUUCUAAUGAUCACUUCACGCAACAAAUCAUGAACUUGGCAACUUUUGACUCUCCCAUUUAAGCCAACUUUGAAAACAUUAACCAAACUUCUUUGUAUCAACUCUGUCAGGUACUCUUCAGCAACUUCCUCCAAGGUUCUUCUAUCCUCAUGCCUAACAAACCCUUCAGCCAUCCAUUGCCUAGCAAGUCUCUUCCUAUAGAUUGCAUAGUCCUCGGGAUAUAUACCAAAAUAUAGCAUGCAUGAUUUCAAAUGGUAAGGCAAGUCAUCAUAACUAAGAGAUAAAAUCUUGACUAGACUAGUCAAAUGCACAUUGCGAUCUAACUCCAUUCUCAGAUUUUGACUCACCUUUUCCCACUCAAAAAUGGUUUUGGCUUUUGUUGACAAAAGACCGCCGAUGGCCACAAUUGCUAGUGGUAGCCCUCCACAUUUUUGAACAAUUUCUUUGGAUACAUCCUCAAGUUCUGUUGGACACUGCCCUCUAAAUGCCUUGUUGCAAAAUAGUUCCCAUGCUUUGUUUGGAGGCAAAGGUUGUAGCUUGUGAACAUGAACAGGAAAUGAUUUCUUAAAAUAUUCAGCUACAUGCAUCAUUCUAGUGGUCACAAUGAUUCUACUUCCUUUGUUAUUACUAAUUAAGGCAUGUUCAAUCUCAUCAGAAAAGUUUUCUUUCCAAACAUCAUCAAAAAACACUAAGUACCUCUUUGACUCAAGGUAUUGUCUCACAUGAGUAAUCAACGUUUCAUCAUCCAUCUUUAGCAGACCCUUUGGGAUAGGCUCAUUGUUGUCCUUGCAAAAUUUCUUUACCAUAUCUGUCAACAACUCUCUGAUAGUGUAUGAUUGAGAAACUGUGAUGAAAGAUCGACAAUCAAAGUUCCUUUUCACUAGCUGGUUAUCAAAAACAUGCUUAGCGAGAGUGGUUUUCCCGAGUCCUCCCAUGCCAACCACAGAAACCAACAUGAGCUCAUUGUUUCCCCCCACCAAGCAACUAACCAAUUCAUCUCGCGGGAUCUCAAACCCUACAACUUGAGUCUCUUCAAUGAAAUAAGGAGCCAUUCGAGGGUCACCAAUUCUAGGAGCUUUAGUCCCUCUAUAGCUACUUUCGGAUCCACUUUCAGACCGAAACUCAAACCUCGUACUUCUUUCUUUGAUUUUACCAAGCGAUAACAUGAUGUCUUGAAUCUCAGAAGCAAUCUGGUGGUGUGGAUUCAUGGUUUUGAUCAAACCUGGAAUCAUUUGGAGUACAGAUCUGAAUCUAGAAUGGUUGACCCUUUGUGCCUCAUACAUGUUAUACUCAUCAAUGACAUCUUCUAUUCGAAAAGAUGCUUCUCUCAGCUGCUUCACCCAUGUUUUGACUCCAUUGGAUCCUCCUCCUCCUCCUCCUCCACCAUCAUCAUCAGCCUUUGUGUCUGCAUCCUUGAGGAAGGCUUGGAUGCUCUCAAGUUCAUCUUUGAUGUCAAUGAAUUCUCUUUCAACUCCUGUCACCGAAGUUCUUUCUUCUUUUACAAAUUGGCAGAGUUCUUCCAAAACAAAUGACACUACAGUUUCUGCCAUUUCAUUUCAACGUUUCCAUCAAUCAGGAUAGUCCUUGCAAGGAAUUUCUUUUGGCAAUCCAAGCAAGUUCAAGUGAAGUGCCUUGUUUUGGUGCUUAGUUUAUCAGUAAAGUAGCUUUGAUUCGUGGAAUAACUUUGACUAAUGAAUAACUUAUCUGUAACAUAGUUUUCUACAAGACAAUAAUUUUCUAUUGUUGUCCGGGGACAAAUACAUUUCUUUUCAAUUUGUUGGUUCUAUAUUAAUUUAUUUUUAAUAUCCUGCUUGCUGAAAGAGUGGGUGUAGUAGGUAGUUCUGAUUGUUUAAUCUUUGAAGUUUGUAUUUUAUAUACUGCUUUCAGAAAGAGUGGGUGCAAUAGGUAGUUCUGAUUUCUGAAUGUUUAAUGUUUAAUGGCAGAAGCCUAUAAUAUUUUCUUAAAAACAUAUGAAUUAUAACAUGGAAACUUUCAACAAAUUUUUUAUUCCCAAGUCAUUGGUUUAUGUGUUGUCUUGCAGUAAGGGUGUUGUAUGCAAUGUCUUAUAGACUAAUCAACAAAAAUAAGUUACCAAACAAAAAUAUUAUCUUACAAAUUAAUCAAAGGGAGUAAUAAUAUUGUCCUAUAAAUUAAUUAACCUGUUUUAAUUAUGAUGUUAAUAUACUUUGGAUUCAUUCGCUUCUUUGAAUUAAGUUUUCAUCUUGAUUUAAUUUCAAGGUUUUAAUUUGUCAUUCUCACACUUAUAACUGACAACCCCAUAUUUCAUAACUGUCUCUAUUAAAAAUUUAAAACACAUUUUCGUAUUUGGUAAACAAAUCAAAAUUUUCGGUACAAACUAAAUUUUUAAUAGACUAUUCAUAAUUUUCGAGAUAUCAGAAUUUUUGAAAUUUAUAUGAAUAUGCAAUAUUAUCGAAAAUGUAUAAAAAUAUCAUGUUAUACAGAAAAUUUCAACCAAAGUGAAAUUUAUGAUAGUUCAGAUUCAAUAAUUUUUGUAGCACUAUCGGAAAUAUUGAAAUUCUUGAUAGUGUAAAAAAAAAUUUUAAUUUUUAAAAAUUUCGGUAUUCUUCAAAUUUUUUUCAAAAAUAUUAAUUUUUUAUUGGAAAUUUCGAUAAAAAAUGGAAUAUUCGAAAAUUUCUUAUAUAUAAUGCAAAUUCCGAUAAAAGUAGAUAAAUUUAAAAAAAAUUGGUUUUAAAAAAAAGUAUAAUGAUAAAAAUCUUGUAAAUAUGAGAAUGUUAGCAAGUGCGGUGGUGGCAAAUUAAAUUCUCCUUAAUUUGUUAGUUGUUUUGUUUGUUCGGAAUAUGGUUGUUUAUUUUUGUUUGAACUCUUGAAUUCUUGUCAUUCUAGUUCUUUGUAUUUAAUUUUCACAUUGAUUUAUUAGUUGUUUUGUUUGUUGAGGCUAUAAUGGCAUGUUUUGUAUGAACUCGUGCGUUGUUGUCAUUCUAGACAUGAUAGAAUAUUUUAAUUUAAUUUUUUUAGUUAAAAAACUUUUUUCACGAAGAUCCGACAAAAGUAAGAAUACCAACUCAAUGUAACAAAUAAUUUGUAAUGUUAGAAGGUUAUAAUUCGAUGUUCUGUCGAAAGCUAGUAUUCGACUAUGUUAAAGUAGCUAGUCGAGAUGUAAGAAUCAGUUGUACUCGACUAUGUCGAAUACAAUAUAUAAUUGUUAUGUCGAAAUGUAACAUGUAGUUUUGUAUGUUGUAUUUUGUAUGUUUUGGACAUAGACUUUAGUUGCCUAUAUAAAUGACAUUGUAUGAUGAAAAUAUAACAACUUCACUCAAUAUAAAUCCUAAUUUUCUACAAUUUAGUUUAUAGUUUUUCUCUCUUUGCUCUCUUCUUCUUCUCUCAUCUUUCUUGAAAACCUUUUGUUCCAACAAAUUGGAAUUAAGGAGUCCAGAUUACGAUUUAGAGAGAAUAUGUAAAUGCAAACGGAACAACAACAUCAACGCAAUUCCUAACAAAUCUAUCGAUUUUCAAAGGUGAGAACUAUGAACAGUGGGUUAUUCAGAUGAAGCUCAUCUUUGAUUUCAAGAUGUGGUUGAAAUCGUGAAUGAUGGAGUACCGAUAUUAGAAGCGAAUGCAGAUGAUGUUCAACAAACUGCACACAAGAAAUGAAGAAGGAAAUAUGGAAAAUGUAUGUUUUUGAUUCACCAGUGUGUGGAUUCUAAUGUGUUCGAGAAGACAAUUGAAGAAGAAACAACCAAAGGAGAGUGAGACAAGUUAAAGAACUUGUACGACAAAGAUGUAAAGCUGAAAAUGGUGAAAUUACAGACGUUGAGAAAACAACCUGAGAUGACUCAGAUGAAGGAAGAUGAGUCGGUCUCGGAAUACCUUUCACAUGUGGUGUUGUUAACGAACCAGAUGAAGUCGUGUGGUGAAUCAAUCUACGAUUCGUAGAAGAUUGAGAAAGUGUUGAGAUCUCUAACUGUGAAUUUCGAUUACAUUGUAAUGUCAAUUGAAGAGUCCAAGAACUUAGCUGAGAUGAAGUUAGAAGAACUUCAAGCUUCAUUAGAGGCUCAUGAGAUGAGACUGAAGAAGAAGAACUCAAAAAGGGAGAAGGCAACUGAACAUGCACUACAAGCAAGAUUCGUCAAGAAAUCUGGGAAAGAGAAGGUGAAACAGGGAAAAAAUCUUGCCAAUUAUGAGAAGUCAAACAAGAACUCAAAGAAUCACCAUGAUUCGAUCAAGAAAGGCAUGAACAACAAGUAUUAUGGGAAGAAAGAUGACAUGAAGGAGGUGCGGUGUUACAAUUGUCAAGGAUUUGGCCACUAUGAUUGAGAUUGUCAAAGAAAUAAAGAAGCAAGAGUAAAAGAUAGUGAUGCAGGCAAUAUACACAUGCUAGAGAUAUUGAUUCUGAUGAUGUGCUACUCAUGGCCAACACUCAGUCGAACACUGAGCAAACCAACAUGUGGUACAUAGAUUCAGGAUGUAGUAACCACAUGUCUGGUAAUAAAAACUGAUUCACCAAGCUAGAUGAAUCAGUUGAAAAAGUGCUAAAGUUUGCAGAUGGCAGACACAUCACAUCAGGUGGAAAAGGAGAUAUCUCUGUUGUCAGGAAGGAUGGUCGAAAAUCCAGCAUCACUGAUGUGUUGUAUGUACAUUCAAUGCAAGUAACUUGAUAAGUAUAGGUCAAUUACUUGCAAAAGGGUACAACAUAAAGCUAGAAAAGAAUCAUAUAAAGGUGUAUCAUGGUGAUGAAAGGUUGAUUCUGAAGGUACCAUUGGCAAACAACAAGACCUUUGAUCGGUCAACAUUUGUACUUAGUUUUCAUCAUCCAUCCAGCAUGAAUCUUCAAGAAUCGGUAACACUUUGUUCUUUCUUUUAGUUGAUUUCCUAAGUUUUAUCGCAUUUCAUAAUUUCCUUCUUGUUUUAUGUUUUAUUAGUGUUCAUCUCUUUUUUGUCGCAUUUUAUGCAUUUCCGUGGUAGUUCUAUUUGUUUCCAGGUCCAACAAUAAGCCCGAAAGAUGCGUAAGGAAGAACGAGAGUCAAAAAUGGUUUGCAAAGCGAAAUAUGCGAUAAAUAGGUGCCUGAUGUAACACCUGAGGUCGGAGAGGCCGAAGAGUGGUUACAUGUGACACCCGAGGGCGAGGGAGUGGUUGUUUAUGCAUGAGGCAUGACAAUGAGACACUCCUAGCAGCUUCUAGGGGAAAACCGAAUUCACAUCGGAAUGAGAGGGAUCCUGAGCUAUGCAGGUAUGAGACUGCAUGGUUGAAUGAAAACUUAUAAGGAUUAAUUGGUACUACCUAUACCAACAAGAUGCAUCUUCUUUUCGGUAGCCCAAUAGAUAAGAACUCCAUAGUUAAGCGUGCUUGACUUGGAGUAGUAUUGGGAUGGUGACCUUCUGGGAAGUUUCCCGGAAAGUGUGUGAGUGAGGACAAAACAUGCCGAAAAGACCCGUGUUGGUUUGUGGGUGUCGAUAAUCCUGAAAGCAGUUUGGGGUGUUACAAAUGUAUCAAAGCCAAACCUCUCCCAGUCGAUGUGGUUCGGGACGAACCAAGCGGAAGUUGGUGGCAUGUAACACCUGAGGUUGGAGAGGCCGAAGAGUGGUUACAUGGGACACCGAGGCGAGGGAGUGGUUGUUUAUGCAUGAGGCAUGACAAUGAGACACUCCUAGCAGCUUCUAGGGGAAAACCGAAUUCACAUCGGAAUGAGAGGGAUCCUGAGUCGGAAUGAGAGGGAUCCUGAGGCUAUGCAGGUAUGAGACUGCAUGGUUGAGAUGAAGGCUUAUAAGAUUAAUUGGUACUACCUAUACCAACAAGAUGCAUCUUCUCGGUAGCCUAACCAAUAAGAACUCCAUAGUUAAGCGUGCUUGACUUGGAGUAGUAUUGGGAUGGGUGACCUUCUGGGAAGUUUCUCGGAAAGUGUGUGAGUGAGGUCAAAACAUGCCGAAAAGACUCGUGUUGGUUUGUUGGUCAGUCGGUAAUCCUUAAAGCGGUUUGGGGUGUUACAAAUGGUAUCAGAGCCAAACCUCUCCCAGUACGAUGUGGUUUCGGGACGAACCAAGCGGAAGUUGGUGGCAUGUAACACCUGAGGUCGGAGAGGCCGAAGAGUGGUUACAUGUGACACCCGAGGGCGAGGGAGUGGUUGUUUAUGCAUGAGGCAUGACAAUGAGACACUCCUAGCAGCUUCUAGGGGAAAAACCGAAUUCACAUCGGAAUGAGAGGAUCCUGAGGCUAUGCAGGUAUGAGACUGCAUGGUUGAAUGAAGGCUUAUAAGGAUUAAUUGUACUACCUAUACCAACAAGAUGCAUCUUCUUUUCGGUAGCCCAAUAGAUAAGAACUCCAUAGUUAAGCGUGCUUGACUUGGAGUAGUAUUGGGAGGGUGACCUUCUGGGAAGUUUCCCGGAAAGUGUGUGAGUGAGGACAAAACAUGCCGAAAAGACCCGUGUUGGUUUGUGGGGUUAGUCGAUAAUCCUGAAAGCAGUUUGGGGUGUUACACCUGACAUGGGUGUCCGUGUCAGCUUAUGUAGAAGAUGGAAAACUUGAAGGCAAAAAUAGGGUGCUGACACGACCCGUGUCAGCCUGUGCAGAAGUGGGAAAGCAAGAAAGCAGAAAAUAAGGGGCUGACACGGGUGCCCGUGUCAGCUGACAUGGCCUGUGUCAGCAAAGUCUGAUGAAAAAAGUUAACAGGGAGCCAACAUGGACGCCCGUGUCAGCUGACACGACCCGUGUUGGCCAAUUCGCUCCUUUUGUUGAUUUUUAUUUUUCAAGUCUCUUUGUAAUUUCGGAGGGCAGCCUUGGUAUUUCACGAUGCUUUUGGAUGAUUUGGAACUAUUUAGUCUACUAUUGGUGAAGAAAAAAGGGACUUUUGGAUGGUACGAAGAAUAGACAGAAAAGAGAAGAGAGCUUUCAAGGGGUUUGGAGAAGAAUAAAUUUUCAAGAUCGGAAGAGAUUGAAGAUCAACCUUCAUCACCAAAGAAUUGUAAUGUCUCUAUUUUGUAAUUUGCUUUCUUUGAAUACUAUGAGAAGCUAAACCCCCCAAUGUUAGGGGGGUGUCCCUGAAUUGCUAAUGAAUGAACAAUAUUUCUAUGUUUUUAUGAUCAUCAACAUUGUUCUUAAUUCAAAUUAUUAUACAAAGUUCUUAAUGCUUUUUUAUGGGACAAAUAGAAUUUUGAUCUUUGGUUAGGGUUUAGGUCGGACAAACCACCUUAUCGCUUUUUGUAUAAUAAUACUUCGGUAUAAUCGCUUAUGAAUAAGGAUCAAACUGUAGUAGCCGUAAAUUCUUGUUACAAUUGCGUAUUUCUUAACGUCAUUUUGAAUAGCUAAGGAAUUGGGAUGGAAAAUGACUGUUAAUUGUUUUUUGGCUAAGGAAUUAUAGAAAACAAUUCUUGAGAAUCGGUGUUGAAUAAUUGUAACGUAGAUAUUAUAUAAUAUGGAAGUAGUGUAGUACAAAGCAAUUCAUACAUCUUGCCCUAGCAUGCUUUCUUAUAUCGAUUAAAAGACUUUUAUACGCUUUGUGUAAUUUAUUCUCGUAAUUAUCAUAUAUAAUAUGGAAGUAGUGUAGUACAAAGCAAUUCAUACAUCUUGCCCUAGCAUGCUUUCUUAUAUCGAUUAAAAGACUUUUAUACGCUUUGUGUAAUUUAUUCUCGUAAUUAUCAUUUCGAAAACUAUCAACAAAACCCCUUUGAUCUUUUGUUCAAUUGAAUUAUUGUAAAGGUUUGUACUUAAUACGCAGUCCUCGAGGUCGAUACUCGGGAUAACUCCCAUUUUAUUACUACAUCGGUGCAAAUAGUACACUUGCUAUUUUACCGAUCAACCUUCAAAGUAGAGAUCAACCCAGUUGAUCACAAAUGUCUUGCUUCGAUUGCAGAAGAAGACAAGAGUUGGCUAUGGCAUCACAUGUAUGGCCAUCUAAACUUCAGAAUUUUAGGUAUGGUUAACCAGAAGAAUAUGGUGUAUGGCUUGCCUCAGGCGAGGGAACCAAGUCAGGUAUGUGAGAAAUGUUGCAAAGCAAAGCAGGUCAGGAAAGCAUUCAAACAUGACUUGCCUAUGAGGUCGAAGGAAAAUCUGGAGCUAAUUCACUCUGAUUUGUGUGGACCAUUUGAAGUAAGGUCAAGUGGAGGUAAAUACUAUUUCCUAACUUUCAUAGAUGAAUUCACAAGAUAUAUGUGGAUUUACCUUAUUGAAAGAAAUCGUGAGGUCCACAAGGUUCAAGAAGUUAAAAUUGCACGUCGAGAAGUAAAUUGGAUGCAAGUUGAAGAAACAGAGAACUGAUGGUAAUUAUGAGUACACCUCUCGAGAAUUUGCUAGAUUUUGUAAUGAGGAAGGUAUAAAGAAUGAGGUCAUUGCACCCUAUACACCUCAACAUAAUGACAUAGUUGAGAGGAAGAAUCAAAGUAUAUUGAAGAUGACUAGGAGUAUGUUGAAAGCUAAAGAUAUGCCAAAGAGAUUUUGGGGUGAAGCAUUCGAAUUGGUUAUAAACUAUGAAAGAAGAACUCAAGGAAAUCGAGAAGAAUAAGACCUGAGAGCUUCGUCGAAGAGUUAAUCAAUAAGCCAAUUGAUGUGAAGUGGGUUUACAAGCUGAAACAUAGGCCGAAUAGUGAAAUUGUUAAGCAUAAGGAAAGACUAGUGGGAGAGGUUUUUUUUUGCAAAAACUUGGUAUUGAUUUCAAUGAAGUGUAUACACCUGUGGUGAGGCUGGAAACCAUUAGAAUUAUUGUGUCGACAACAACAUACAUGGGGUGGAAGAUACACCAGUUGGAUGUAAAAUCAACAUUUCUGAAUGGACAUUUGGAAGAAGAAGACUAUGUUAGUCAACCACCAAGAUUCGAAAUCACGGGGCAGGAGUCAAAGGUGUACAAAUUUAGGAAGGUUCUCUAUGGUUAGAAGCAAGCCCCAAGAUCUUGGAAUAAGAGUAUAAAUAACUUCCUGAUCGAAGCAGGUUUCACAAAGUAUGUCUCUAAACAUGGAGUGUAUGUCAAUAAUGUAGACAGGGUCAUUCAAAUCAUCAUAUGCAUGUAUGUAGAUGACUUAUUGAUUAUAGGUGCAGAUGAAGCAAAAAUAAGAAAAGUCAAGUCAAAGAUGAUGCAAGAGUUUGAAAUGCCCGACCUAGGGAAUUUGUCAUAUUUCUUAGGGAUGGAGUUCAAAGACACAUGUGAAGGAGUGUUCCUGCACCAAAAUAAGUAUUCCUAAGAUAUUUUGAAGAGGUUCAAGAUGAGCAACUGUAAUACAACUGCUAUGCCAUUAGAAACUGGAGAAAAGUUGAAGAAUGAGACAAAUGGUGAAUUUGUAAGUGCGAUACUAUAAAAAAAUCAUUGGAUCCUUGAGGUAUCUUUGCAAUAUCAUUCCAGAUAUUUGUCAAAGUAUCAGACUAUUGAGCAGAUUCAUGGAGAAACCUCCAGAAUGUCAUCUCAUUGCAGUCAACAGAGCGUUGAGAUACAUCAAAGAUACGAUUGAUCAUGGUGUGAUGAUGCCAAAAUGGAAGAAGACCAAACAUGUGCAGAGGUAUGUGGCUACACUGAUUUAGAUUUAAGUGGAGAUCAAGACGAGAAGAAGAGUAAUGUAGGCUACAUAUUCAUGAUUGAAGGCGCUCCAAUCUCAUGCAGCUCAAGUAAGCAAAGCAUUGUGGCUUUGUCAUCAUGUGAAGCUAAGCAUGUGGUUACAUCAUAUGCAGUAUGUCGAGCAACAUGGAUAAAGAUGUUGCUCGAAAAGCUCAAGUUAAUGUAACCUAAGAAAAUGAAGUUGUUUGUCGACAACAAGUAAGCAAUCGACCUGGAUAACCAUUCAGUGUGUCAUGGUCGAAGUAAGCUCAUAAAAAGGAGGUGUCAAGUUAAAAAAUGAAAGCUUGAACUUGAGCAUUGCAAGAUAGAAUGACAACUGAUCGAAAAAAUAACAAGUGUACUAUUUUGCCGAUGUAGUAAUAAUAGGGAAUUUUUCCAAAUAUCGAUCUCAAGGACUGCGUAGUAAUAUCUAGUUUAAAUUGUAAUUCAAUUAAACAAAAACUGAAGUUUUGGUUUGGCUUGGAAUAAAUCCUUACAAGGAGAAUUCAUUGGGAGGUUUGUCAUUGUUUUGAAAAGAGAAGCUAUGAUUUAAGUUCAAAAGUUCUUUGGAUGGGUAUGGCGUUUUUAUACUUUGAAGUGGCGGUUGCCAGUGCAAAUGGACGGGGUUUUAAAAAUGAGAUAGCUUAACUUCGUGUUUUAAAUCCUUCAAUCAUUUUUGUGGCUUUCGACCUAGACUCAAACAAGGUGGUAUGGGAAUCCCAUAAUGAGUGAGGACAUGUUAGUUUUCUAUUUGUUUGAGGAACCUUUGUUACGAUCAUUUGUAAUUGACUAUGACUAUGUGUUACUUUGUAUGACUGUGUAAUGGUUCUUUCGUUCGUCUUUAUUUUGGAUUUUCGUCUCUUUGGACAUAUUUUUUUAUUAAUCAAUUUUCUUUUUUAAUUCGCAUUAAGUUCAUUCUUGGCCUAAGGAUACCCCUUGCUUUGUCCACUUCUUAGGAUUUAACCUUGAAAAUGGGGUGGAUUAUUAUUGUUAGUGACAUUUCUUCCCACUAGUGUUAAAUCAAGAAGGGAGAUUCCUUAGCCAUCAAUUGUAACUCUGGCUUUGCUUUUCCUCUCCCAGGGAUAACAUUCGUUAAGUUUCAUUCUUUGAGGAAGUUGGUUAUGGAGAUAUAAUAAAGCAGACAUAAUAUAAAAAUGUUCAAUACUUACAAAUACAUGAUGAUUUUUUAUAUGGCUAAAUUCAUUUCAUAAAAAAGAGAAUAAACUACUUAGGAGUGGAUACCACAAACUUAGGGUUUGAACCAUCUCUAUAACUACUGACUAUCUUUAAUGAUGUAUUUCUUGUGGAUCUAUGUGCUUGCAGGUAUAACUAUUUACAACCGUUGAGAUGAUACUGAUGAUUUCUUUCAUGACAAGAUGAUGUCAACACUUUAGAAUUGUUGAUCACAACACUUUGUUUUUCUUGAAGUCUUCAUCUAUAAAUAAGAAGUAAUGACCAAAAUGUUCUAUUAACAUGAAGAUGUUUUGUGAGAUCAAGAUGAAGAAGACAACAACAAAGGUCAAAUGACAUUCAGUGAAUUCUCUAAUGAUCUUCUGUAAAGUAACCUAUGUUCAUGGUGUAUAUCAAAGAAGCUAUGUCAAGUUUAAUCAAGUUAAAAGAUCCAUGUUCUAGAUGAAUUUCUAAAUCUCUAAUGAACCAAGCAAGAGAUCUUGAAGCUUAAAGGUUAUGAAAGAGAGGAAGUGUGAAAGCUCUU
rnacentral:lncRNA from 1 species